CAGCCCCUGAUUUUGGGCUUUUGCAAAUCCUAUGGGGCGUUGUUGUGGGGUCAUCCCCCCCCCCCAAAUCCUAUGGGGCGCUGUGAUGGGGGGGUCCCUAAAUUUUAUGGGGCUCUGUGGUGGGGGGGUCCCUAAAUCCUUUGGGGUGUUGUGCUGGGGGUUCCCCAAUUCCUUUGGGGCUCUGUGGUGGGGGUCCCCUAAAUUCUGUUGGGCUUUAUGGUGGGGACCCCCCAAAAUCCUAUGUCGGGGGUCCCCCUAAAUCCCAUGCAGCUCUAUGGUGGGGACCCCCCCAAAAUCCUAUGGGGCUCUGUGGUGCGGACCCCCCCCCCAAAAUCCUAUGUUGGGCCCCCCCUCCUAAAUCCUCUGGGGUUCUGUGGUGGGGGUCCCCCUAAAUUCUGUGGGGCUUUAUGGUGAGGACUCCCCCAAAUCCGAUGGCAGGGGUCCCCCUAAAUCCUAUGGAGCUCUAUGGUGGGGACCCCCCCCUAAAUCCUAUGGUGGGGGUCCCCCAAAAUCCUAUAGAGCUCUAUGGUGGGGACCCCCCUCAAAUCCUAUGGCAAGGGUCCCCCUAAAUCCUAUGGGUCUGUGUGGUGGGGGCCCCCCCAAAUCCCAUGGCGGGGGUCCCCGAAGCCCCCCAGAAGAACGGGGAAUUUGAGGUUUCUGAAGGGAUCUUUGGUGCCAAAAAGGCGUAGUUUGGGAUUUGGGGUUUUUUUUGGGGCCCCCUUGCACCCCCCAAUCGCCGCUGCCUUCCAACGGAGGAAGGGGGGGAGUGGGGCCGCGUCGCUCGCACCGCCCCACACCGCUGGACUUUGCCCCACAUCGACCCACGUCCCAGCAGUUUCCCAAUCUUGGUGCGGAGAAAACGCCUUUUUUGGGGUUUUCUGCCGGUUUUUGGGGCUGUUUCUGCGUUUCUGACCCCGAGGCAGCAUUGGUUCCGUCAGGAAUUGUGGGGUGAAUGGGUAAAGGAGCCCGGCUCGGCCCCGAAGGGCAAUGGGGGGCAGACGGCGCUGAGAGAAAUGGGGAAAAAGCUGAAAUUUGGGGGGAGUUUGUCCGACCCCAAAAGGUGGAGGCAGUUCCCUUUGUGUCCUGUGGGGUCAAACUGGAACCCAAGUGGUGACCCCAGUUCCCUUUGUGUCCUAUGGGGCCGUACCGGAACCCAAGUGGUGACCCUGUUUCCCUUUGUGUUCUAUGGGGUCAAACUGGAACCCAAUUGGUGACCCCAGUUCCCUUUGUGUUCUUUGGGGUCAAUCUGGAACCCAACUGGUGACCCCAAUUCCCUUUGUGUUCUAUGGGGUCAAUCUGGAACCCAAGUGGUGACCCCAGUUCCCUUUGUGUUCUUUGGGGUCAAUCUGGAACCCAAUUGGUGACCCCAGUUCCCUUUGUGUCCUAUGGGGCCGUACUGGAACCCAAGUAGUGACCCCAGUUCCCUUUGUGUCCUAUGGGGCCGUACUGGAACCCAAGUGGUGACCCCAAUUCCCUUUGUGUUCUUUGGGGUCAAUCUGGAACCCAAGUGGUGACUCCAGUUCCCUUUGUGUCCUAUGGGGUCAAUCUGGAACCCAACUGGUGACCCCAGUUCCCUUUAUGUCCUGUGGGGUCGUACCGGAACCCAAGUGGUGACCCCAUUUCCCUUUAUGUUCUAUGGGGUCGUACUGGAACCCAAGUGGUGACCCCAGUUCCCUUUGUGUUCUUUGGGGUCAAUCUGGAACCCAAGUGGUGACCCCGAUUCCCUUUGUGUUCUUUGGGGUCAAUCUGGAACCCAAGUGGUGACCCC
rnacentral:lncRNA from 1 species